GGACGGGGCCCGCACAAGCGGUGGAGUAUGUGGUUUAAUUCGAAGCAACGCGAAGAACCUUACCAGGUCUUGACAUCCCCUGACAACCCGAGAGAUCGGGCGUUCCCCUUCGGGGGACAGGGUGACAGGUGGUGCAUGGUUGUCGUCAGCUCGUGUCGUGAGAUGUUGGGUUAAGUCCCGCAACGAGCGCAACCCUCGACCUUAGUUGCCAGCAUUCAGUUGGGCACUCUAAGGUGACUGCCGGCUAAAAGUCGGAGGAAGUGGGGAUGACGUCAAAUCAUCAUGCCCCUUAUGACCUGGGCUACACACGUGCUACAAUGGGCGGUACAAAGGGUCGCGAACCCGCGAGGGGGAGCCAAUCCCAAAAAGCCGCUCUCAGUUCGGAUUGCAGGCUGCAACUCGCCUGCAUGAAGCCGGAAUCGCUAGUAAUCGCGGAUCAGCAUGCCGCGGUGAAUACGUUCCCGGGCCUU
rnacentral:rRNA from 1 species